rnacentral:rRNA from 1 species
UACGAAGGGGGCUAGCGUUGUUCGGAAUGACUGGGCGUAAAGGGCGCGUGAGGCGGCGAUGUAAGUCAGGCGUGAAAGCCCCGGGCUCAACCUGGGAACGGCGCUUGAUACUGCGUUGCUUGAGGACGGGAGAGGUGAGUGGAAUUCCCAGUGUAGCGGUGAAAUGCGUAGAUAUUGGGAGGAACACCAGUGGCGAAGGCGGCUCACUGGACCGGAACUGACGCUGAGGCGCGAAAGCGUGGGGAGCAAACAGGG